AUAUAGGAGGGAAAAAUCCCAUCUUGUUCCAUCCAUGUUCCUUAUACAAUUCAUAAUACGCCCAAUUACUGUCUUUAUAAUCACCUGUUACAGCUGACGUUUGACAGAGUCAAAACAAACCAAUCCAUGUAUAAGAAAACAUGACGAACUGAGGUCAAAGGACUACACUCUAUAGUUGUGAUGAGAAACUGUGGGUUCUGAAAUCCACACUAGAGAUUUGUAAUUGAGAUUAUGAGAAAGGACGGCUAGAUCUUCACUGGAACUUUGAGAGUUAUAUUGCUAAGAACGAAUGGACUUUUGUAUUGAUUGUG
rnacentral:sRNA from 1 species